UAAGGAAUAUUGGACAAUGGAGGCAACUCUGAUCCAGCCAUGCCGCGUGAAGGAAUAAGGCCCUAUGGGUUGUAAACUUCUUUUAGACGGGACAAAACCCCUUUACGUGUAAAGGGUUGAUGGUACUGUCAGAAUAAGCAUCGGCUAACUUCGUGCCAGCAGCCGCGGUAAUACGAAGGAUGCAAGCGUUAUCCGGAAUUAUUGGGUUUAAAGGGUGCGUAGGCGGACUAAUAAGUCAGUGGUGAAAGCCUGCAGCUUAACUGCAGAAUUGCCAUUGAUACUGUUAGUCUUGAGUACAGUUGAGGUAGGCGGAAUGUGUCAUGUAGCGGUGAAAUGCUUAGAUAUGACACAGAACACAGAAUGCGAAGGCAGCUUGCUAAGCUGUAACUGACGCUGAGGCACGAAAGCGUGGGGAGCAAACA
rnacentral:rRNA from 1 species